UGGUGAGUACAUCGGCGGCAACGAGCUGUGCACGAGUGAAAUCAACUCUGCUGUCCUUCCCUCAAACGCCACUGGCCUUUCCACGAUGACGCAGCGCUCCGAGCAGUGCAUGGGCUGGGUGGAGGUGGCGUGCAUGUCACCCCCUCACGCAGCUGGCAUUGUGACCGUGGAGGUGAGCGCCACUGACGGCGGCUUCAGCACGAGCAAGGUGGAGUUUGAGUUCCAGCCGAGCGCCACUGUUUUGUCGCUGCAGCCAGCAUCCGGGCCAUCAGCUGGUGUUGGUGUGGUGAAGGUGGUCGGCGAGCACCUUGUGAGCGCUGAGCCGCUGUGUGGCUUUGGGCUGGCGGACCCUUCGUAUGCUGAGGUGGUGUCGUCAGUGCUUGCCAAGUGCGAGGCCCCAGCUCAUGAGGCCGGCAUGGUGUCGGUUGAGAUGAGCAUCAGCGGCGCUGGCCAGCAGUUCACCCAGAGUGGUAUGAUGUACUCGUACACCGAAGAGGCUGCUGUGGUGGCGAUCAGUCCGCGUGAAGGGGCGCAGAGCGGCGGCACUGUGGUGCGGCUGGCUCUGAGCUCGGUGGACGCUGAUGUGUCUGGAUGCAGAUUUGGGACCAUCGGUCCGCUCAGCAGCCGCGCUGCGGGCGGUGGCGCUGAGUGCGCAUCCCCCGCACACGAGGGGGGCAUGGUGGCUAUCUCAGCCAGCGUGAACAGCGAGGUGUGGAGCACCUCCGAGCUUGCGUUUGAGUACAUGUCGUCUGCGACUGUGUUUGCUGUUGCUCCCGCCUCUGGUCCUGUGUCUGGCGGGACUGUGGUGCAUGUGAUGGGCAGCAGCCUGGUCGGCGAGAACGUGCUGUGCAGGUUUGGGCUCGAGGUUGUGGCUGGUGAGUACAUCGGCGGCAACGAGCUGUGCACGAGUGAAAUCAACUCUGCUGUCCUUCCCUCAAACGCCACUGGCCUUUCCACGAUGACGCAGCGCUCCGAGCAGUGCAUGGGCUGGGUGGAGGUGGCGUGCAUGUCACCGCCCCACGCAGCUGGCAUUGUGACCGUGGAGGUGAGCGCCACUGACGGCGGCUUCAGCACGAGCAAGGUGGAGUUUGAGUUCCAGCCGAGCGCCACUGUUUUGUCGCUGCAGCCAGCAUCUGGGCCAUCAGCUGGUGUCGGUGUGGUGAAGGUGGUCGGCGAGCACCUUGUGAGCGCUGAGCCGCUGUGUGGCUUUGGGCUGGCGGACCCUUCGUAUGCUGAGGUGGUGUCGUCAGUGCUUGCCAAGUGCGAGGCCCCAGCUCACGAGGCCGGCAUGGUGUCGGUUGAGAUGAGCAUCAGCGGCGCUGGCCAGCAGUUCACCCAGAGUGGUAUGGUUUACUCGUACACCGAGGAGGCUGCUUUGGUGGCGAUCAGUCCGCGUGAGGGGGCGCAGAGUGGCGGCACUGUGGUGCGGCUGGCUCUGAGCUCGGUGGACGCUGAUGUGUCUGGAUGCAGAUUUGGGACCAUCGGUCCGCUCAGCAGCCGCGCUGCGGGCGGUGGCGCAGAGUGCGCAUCCCCCGCACACGAGGGGGGCAUGGUGGCUAUCUCAGCCAGCGUGAACAGCGAGGUGUGGAGCACCUCCGAGCUUGCGUUUGAGUACAUGUCGUCUGCGACUGUGUUUGCUGUUGCUCCCGCCUCUGGUCCUGUGUCUGGCGGGACUGUGGUGCAUGUGAUGGGCAGCAGCCUGGUCGGCGAGAACGUGCUGUGCAGGUUUGGGCUCGAGGUUGUGGCUGGUGAGUACAUCGGCGGCAACGAGCUGUGCACGAGUGAAAUCAACUCUGCUGUCCUUCCCUCAAACGCCACUGGCCUUUCCACGAUGACGCAGCGCUCCGAGCAGUGCAUGGGCUGGGUGGAGGUGGCGUGCAUGUCACCGCCCCACGCAGCUGGCAUUGUGACCGUGGAGGUGAGCGCCACUGACGGCGGCUUCAGCACGAGCAAGGUGGAGUUUGAGUUCCAGCCGAGCGCCACUGUUUUGUCGCUGCAGCCAGCAUCUGGGCCAUCAGCUGGUGUUGGUGUGGUGAAGGUGGUCGGCGAGCACCUUGUGAGCGCUGAGCCGCUGUGUGGCUUUGGGCUGGCGGACCCUUCGUAUGCUGAGGUGGUGUCGUCAGUGCUUGCCAAGUGCGAGGCCCCAGCUCACGAGGCCGGCAUGGUGUCGGUUGAGAUGAGCAUCAGCGGCGCUGGCCAGCAGUUCACCCAGAGUGGUAUGAUGUACUCGUACACCGAGGAGGCUGCUGUGGUGGCGAUCAGUCCGCGUGAAGGGGCGCAGAGCGGCGGCACUGUGGUGCGGCUGGCUCUGAGCUCGGUGGACGCUGAUGUGUCUGGAUGCAGAUUUGGGACCAUCGGUCCGCUCAGCAGCCGCGCUGCGGGCGGUGGCGCAGAGUGCGCAUCCCCCGCACACGAGGGGGGCAUGGUGGCUAUCUCAGCCAGCGUGAACAGCGAGGUGUGGAGCACCUCCGAGCUUGCGUUUGAGUACAUGUCGUCUGCGACUGUGUUUGCUGUUGCUCCCGCCUCUGGUCCUGUGUCUGGCGGGACUGUGGUGCAUGUGAUGGGCAGCAGCCUGGUCGGCGAGAACGUGCUGUGCAGGUUUGGGCUCGAGGUUGUGGCUGGUGAGUACAUCGGCGGCAACGAGCUGUGCACGAGUGAAAUCAACUCUACUGUCCUUCCCUCAAACGCCACUGGCCUUUCCACGAUGACGCAGCGCUCCGAGCAGUGCAUGGGCUGGGUGGAGGUGGCGUGCAUGUCACCGCCUCACGCAGCUGGCAUUGUGACCGUGGAGGUGAGCGCCACUGACGGCGGUUUCAGCACGAGCAAGGUGGAGUUUGAGUUCCAGCCGAGCGCCACUGUUUUGUCGCUGCAGCCAGCAUCCGGGCCAUCAGCUGGUGUUGGUGUGGUGAAGGUGGUCGGCGAGCACCUUGUGAGCGC
rnacentral:lncRNA from 1 species